GACUGAAUGGCGGAAUAUGAAGUCGAAGCCUCUUGUUUUUCUCCGAGCUCGAGUCCAACCCCCCCGAAUCAACCUCUGAAAAACAAAAACGCGGAGCUAUUAAAUCCCCCCCAAAAUUGGGACAGGGUGGAGUGAUGGCCGUGUUGGGCCCAGCGUCUGGUGUCCAGAGAUGAUAGAGGUGACCUCAGAGUCACCUUUAACACCUGACCCCCACCACAACCCCUGAGAGCGAGCUGAAACUGAUCACACACACAGGCUGCAAUGGGGUCCUCUUCCAAAUGACUCCCUCAGGCCUGAAGACUGUUUCACUGCAGCCACGGGCCUGAAGACUGUUUCACUGCAGCCACGGGCCUGAAGACUGUUUCACUGCAGCCACGGGCCUGAAGACUGUUUCACUGCAGCCACGGGCCUGAAGACUGUUUCACUGCAGCCACGGGCCUGAAGACUGUUUCACUGCAGCCACGGGCCUGAAGACUGUUUCACUGCAGCCACGGGCCUGAAGACUGUUUCACUGCACGGGCCUGAAGACUGUUUCACUGCAGCCACGGGCCUGAAGACUGUUUCACUGCAGCCACGGGCCUGAAGACUGUUUCACUGCAGCCACGGGCCUGAAGACUGUUUCACUGCAGCCACGGGCCUGAAGACUGUUUCAC